rnacentral:rRNA from 1 species
GGGCCCGCACAAGCGGUGGAGCAUGUGGUUUAAUUCGAUGAUACGCGAGGAACCUUACCAGGGCUUAAAUGUAGUAUGACCGGCUUGGAAACAGGCCUUCUCUUCGGAGCAGAUUACAAGGUGCUGCAUGGUUGUCGUCAGCUCGUGCCGUGAGGUGUUAGGUUAAGUCCUGCAACGAGCGCAACCCCUAUUCUUAGUUGCCAGCGGUUCGGCCGGGGACUCUAAGAAGACUGCCAGCGCAAGCUGAGAGGAAGGUGGGGAUGACGUCAAAUCAUCACGGCCUUACGUCCUGGGCUACACACGUGCUACAAUGGGGAAUACAGACGGACGCUAAGCCGCGAGGUGGUGCU